GGGGAUUGAGCUCAGUGGGCAAAAGCGCCUGCCUGGCAAGCACGAGGUCGUGAGUUCAAUCCCCA
rnacentral:tRNA from 1 species